AUUGAACGCUGGCGGCAGGCUUAACACAUGCAAGUCGAGCGAGCGGCGGACGGGUGAGUAAUGUCUGGGAAACUGCCUGAUGGAGGGGGAUAACUACUGGAAACGGGGUCUAAUACCGAAUAAAGGGGGAUGGGCUCGCGGCCUAUUAGCUAGUAGGUGGGGUAAUGGCUCACCUAGGCGACGAUCCCUAGCUGGUCUGAGAGGAUGACCAGCCACACUGGAACUGAGACACGGUCCAGACUCCUACGGGAGGCAGCAGUGGGGAAUAUUGCACAAUGGGCGCAAGCCUGAUGCAGCCAUGCCGCGUGUGUGAAGAAGGCCUUCGGGUUGUAAAGCACUUUCAGCGAGGAGGCGUUACUCGCAGAAGAAGCACCGGCUAACUCCGUGCCAGCAGCCGCGGUAAUUC
rnacentral:rRNA from 1 species